UAUGGCUGUGGUAAGUACAAUUGCCUUUCAUAUUGAACUGUUUUGAUGACCUGUAUUUUGCAUUGUAAAAUGUGUUUCUUUUUCAUUUCAGUAUGGCUGUGGUAAGUACACAAACUUUCUUUAAUUUUCAUAUUGAACUGUUUUGAUGACUUGUAUUCUGCUAUACAAAAUGUGCUUUUUUCAAUUUCAGGUCAGCAAUGGUAAGUAUAGUGUGUUUUUUUAUGUAUAAUUUUGUAUACAUAUUGUUUUUUUCAUCAUAGCAUGUCUUUUAUAUUUAUGCUUUGUGUAAGUAAAAUGUUCAUAAAUCAUUCUUAUCUUCAAACUAAAAAUGUAUUGUGCUAUGCAAAAUGUCUGUAUGAUUUCAGUUGCCAGAGGUGAGUACCAUUACAGUUGAAAAGUUAGUUUUGUUUAGUUAAAGUUUUGGUUCACAGUUCUGUUUGUUAUUUGGCAAAAUUUACAUGUAUGCAUUGAGUCUUGAUUUCAGCUCGAUUGUGGACUGAAGAAGAUUGCCCGCAGAGGGAUUGGAUACAAAAUACAAAGUAAGUACUGAGUUUCUUACUAAAAGUUUUGAGUUGUAUUCAUUGUAUGUUAAUAUGCUAUGAUUGCUAUGAACAUGACUUUUGUAUUUCAGCGAAGACAACAUAGGUAAGUAAAAUUGUUAUCUGUUUCAUGUUUACUGUUACAGUUCAAUAUUGUGUUUAUAAAUUGUAAGUUGUACAAACACAUUCAAAAGUUUCUAAUCAUGCUUUCGAUUUCAUUUCAGCUUUACUGCUAGACGAGUGUUCUCUACUACUUGACGAGUCAGCUUUACUACCAGGCGAGCAGUGACAACAAGGCGCCUUUGUGGAAACAACACAACAAAAAACUGUACUGCUAGACGAGCAGUGACAGAAAGGCGCCUGAACAUGCAACACAAAACAAAAAAUGCCAAUAUACAAACCUUGAUGUGGACACCGAGUAGUCAAUACAUACGUGUGGCGUACAGCUGCGACAAAACCGUGGGUCCAUCGCACCGAUAACUCGAAUAUUGGCCCGCGUAUGGACAUCAGUGCAACUUUGUGAAUCCAUG